UAAGUACAACUUCAAAAGUGACAGACUGGAAAAUCUCUGCAGGCAAAUGUGAUGUCACUAAAGAAAUCACACACUUACCCGUAGAGAUUCUGCAGUCUGACAUCUUCAAGCAUCGAACCAUU
rnacentral:pre_miRNA from 12 species